UACAGAGGGGGCUAGCGUUGUUCGGAAUUACUGGGCGUAAAGCGCACGUAGGCGGCUUUGUAAGUUAGAGGUGAAAGCCCGGGGCUCAACCCCGGAAUUGCCUUUAAGACUGCAUCGCUAGAAUUGUGGAGAGGUGAGUGGAAUUCCGAGUGUAGAGGUGAAAUUCGUAGAUAUUCGGAAGAACACCAGUGGCGAAGGCGAUUCACUGGACACAUAUUGACGCUGAGGCUCGAAAGCAUGGGGAGCAAACAGG
rnacentral:rRNA from 1 species